rnacentral:rRNA from 1 species
GUGGGGAGUAUUGGACAAUGGGGGCAACCCUGAUCCAGCAAUGCCGCGUGAGUGAUGAAGGCCUUAGGGUUGUAAAGCUCUUUCGACGGGGAAGAUGAUGACGGUACCCGUAGAAGAAGCCCCGGCUAACUUCGUGCCAGCAGCCGCGGUAAUACGAAGGGGGCUAGCGUUGUUCGGAUUUACUGGGCGUAAAGGGCGCGUAGGCGGUGCAAUAAGUCAGGCGUGAAAGCCCCGGGCUCAACCCGGGAAUUGCGCUUGAUACUGUUGCGCUUGAAUCCAGGAGAGGAUGGCGGAAUUCCCAGUGUAGAGGUGAAAUUCGUAGAUAUUGGGAAGAACACCAGUGGCGAAGGCGGCCAUCUGGCCUGGAAUUGACGCUGAGGCGCGAAAGCGUGGGGAGCAAACAGGAUUAGAAACCCUGGUAGUCCCC